CUUGCUCUUGAGAUUUAGUGGCAAACGGGUGAGUAAUAUAAAGGAAUCUACCUAACAGUACGGAAUAACUUUGGGAAACCAAUGCUAAUACCGUAUAUUACCAUUUAUGGGAAAGAUUUAUCGCUGUUAGAUGAGCCUUUAUCAGAUUAGCUUGUUGGUGGGGUAAUGGCCUACCAAGGCAAUGAUCUGUAGCUGGUCUGAGAGGAUGAUCAGCCACACUGGAACUGAGACACGGUCCAGACUCC
rnacentral:rRNA from 1 species